rnacentral:rRNA from 1 species
UGAGGAAUAUUGGUCAAUGGGCGGGAGCCUGAACCAGCCAAGUCGCGUGAGGGAAGACGGUCCUAUGGAUUGUAAACCUCUUUUGUCGGGGAGCAAAGAGGCCACGUGUGGUCAAAAGCGAGAGUA